rnacentral:tRNA from 1 species
GGAGGGUUGGCUGAGCGGUUCAAAGCGAUGGUUUCGAAAACCAUUGGGUCGAAAGAUCCGCACAGGUUCGAAUCCUGUACCCUCCGCCA